rnacentral:lncRNA from 1 species
AAAUCUUAGCAAAAUUAAGUAGUCAAGAGAUUCUAUAACUAACUAUCACAUGUUAAAUGUCUCAGUAAUACACAUUACUGAACAUUCUUCAAAUUCUUUUGAGGAUAUACUCUACUUCAUUUCAGAUUGGUUUUCACUCUUCUCUCAUAUGUUCCUCCUUCAAGAUUGCAUAAUAUAACAGCAUUGUUGAAAUUCAUGUGCUCAUUUUCUAUAUGCAACAAUUUCUCUCUCUAAAAUGCUGAAAUUUCUCGACACGUUAAGUUAUGCUCCGAUGUGCUAAUUUCAUAGUAUUUUUUUGCAAACACUCAGCAACUUCAAAAGUCCAAUUUAGAUGCGCAAAGAUCGAUGGACAUAUAUAUAUAUAGAGAGAGAGAGUUUCUUUCUCCCAAAGAAAUUUGUUCUUUGUCUGAAUAUAUACUCCAUAAUAAACUGAGUAAGAAAAUAUUAGAAUGCUGAAAGUUAUGAAAGUUAGGUAAUAUAGUUGAUGUGUUCAAACUAGUCUUGUAAAGAACAGAUGUAAAAGUUAAUGAACUUUCCACCCAUAAAAAAGUUUCAUGGAGGCUCAAACAACAAAACUUGAGUUACUUCUUGGAAACGUAAUUUUCGACUGAGUCCGAAUAAUUUGUUGAUGUUAGUAGAAAGUCCAUAUUUAUCUCUAUUUAGAUAUUUAAAAAAAUAGGUAAUAUGAAAGGAAAAUUACCUGCCACUCUUCAAAUAUUUGCAUUCUCUUAACGGCAAUGGCCAUUCCAACACCAAACUCUGAUGGGGCGUAGGUUUUCUCAUGGACCCAACCUUCGUAAACUCUUCCAAACCCUCCCUUGCCCAACCUCGUAUCUGGUCUAAAGUGUCUUGUUGCUUUCCUCAACUCAGCUAAUGUGAAAAUUUUCAAAUUUGGGGCCAUAAUCCUGUUAUCGUUGCUUCUUCUGUUCCUUGAAGGCUUUGCAUCGCUAUGUCCUGAAAAAGGGAAGGACAAUCUAGGUAACAUGAUUAUAUGAAAAACUACCACAAACAUACCAAUGAAAACAUAUAGAACCCCAAAUCCUCGUCCAAAGACGAUUUCAGAGUCAUUCGACUCUGCAAAGCCAACUACAUACUUAUUUAAAAGGUUCUUGACAGAGAAUGAAGAAAAUACUCUAGCACAAUUUCCCAAAACCAAAAAUGGUUUGAUUUAUGGAUGUAAUUUUGUUCAGUUGUUGUCCCAUUAAGAAGAGACUUUCUGAGAAAUAGAUUCAUCUCAUCAACCAAUAUAUACGCUAUAUCACUAUAUUAUUGUGAAGGACCCAACCACUCCAAAAUUUCCAUGGUUUCUUAUCCUCUAUUCUUUUUGCUGAUUCUAGAAACUCAAUUGUUAAAAUAUUUUAGCUUCUUAAUGGUACGACUCGAAAUCGUCGCCGGGUCCGUCGCUAAAAGGGAGUGAGCACUGGUGAGUAAAAUAAGGAGUAUACACUUGAUCCUUGAGCCAGCGAACAUAAAACCACUUUUAUCUAAAUGUUUUCAAUAAAAAUGAAAUAAAUAUUGAGAAUUCUCAAGCGCACUAGUCACUAGUUGUAUAAAAUGGUGCAAGACUUACUAGGCUCCCACAAAUCUACUUGUAUUGCCUCCGGUUUCAUCUAGGUCGAACAACCAUGCCAUUCCAAAAUCUGCCAAGUUUGGGAUUCAUCUCUGCAUCUAACAGAACAUUUCUAGCUUUUAGAUCACGAUGAAUAAUCCUUAGCCUAGAAUCUUCAUGAAGGUAAAGAAGUCCCCUAGCAACACCUCCUAUGAUUUUGUAUCGUCUUUCCCAAUCCAAAUAUGAACUCUUUACUGAAUCUACAAGAAAGAUCAACCAUAUUGCAUGCUUCAAAGCUCAAUUAUAUUAUAAACUUCCAAGAAAAAUAACUGCUAUCUCCGUUUCAAAAUAUAAGAUCACUUGCCUUUGUAUGUUACAAAGGCAAAUUAUACAAAAAACAAUUAAUAUUAUGUUUUGGAACUGAGGGAGUAUUUAAUAUUUAUUACAAAAUCUCAACUUUAAACAUUUUACAAACAUUCUUAUACUUAAAUACUCGUGGAAAUCAAAAGAGAUCAUCCACAAAGAAGGGCAGAGUUAUGCACUCUACCAAAUAUAUAUAUAUAUAUAUAUAUAUAUAUAUAUAUAUAUAGAAGACAGAAUCCUUAUUUUUUAGAAGGUAUAUUCAUGUAUUUGAAUUUUUAUUUAUAUAUAUGAUGGUCAUUUCACUAAUGUAAAGAGCACUAUAUAUAUAUAUAUAUAUAUAUAUAUAUAUAUAGUGCUCUUUACAUUAGUGAAAUGACCAUCAUAUAUAUAAAUAAAAAUUCAAAUACAUGAAUAUACCUUCUAAAAAAUAAGGAUUCUGUCUUCUAUAUAUAUAUAUAUAUAUAUAUAUAUAUAUAUAUAUAUNNNNNNNNNNNNNNNNNNNNNNNNNNNNNNNNNNNNNNNNNNNNNNNNNNNNNNNNNNNNNNNNNNNNNNNNNNNNNNNNNNNNNNNNNNNNNNNNNNNNAUGUUGUCCUCCUUUACUCGAUAUCCUAAAUUGCGUAGCAAUAAUAAGGGAAUGAGACACUACAGGUAUUAACUCAUUAAGUUAUAAAUCAACCAUUCAGCAUGACAGUCAGUGUUUUAAAAAUUCCCGCCUAGGCGCUAGGCCCUCCUUGGCACCCCGCCUAGGCGCUAGGCCCCCCGACGCCUCACCUAGGCCUAAGGCGGCAAAAAAAUUCCUCAAGAAAAAUAGGCAGGGCCUAGGUGGGGUCUAGGCGGAGAAUUUUUUUAUAUUUUAAUAAUUAUUCAAACCAGAUUUUAAUAUAUUUAUUUUUCUAAUGAUUUACCAUAUUCAUAAUACAUGUUGUAGCCAAAGUUGUUAAGGCAUCGCCUAGGCGACGCCAAGUCGUCCAGUCGAGCAGAAAUGGGAAAGGCGAGCUUCCGACUUGGUAGAUGGCUUAAAGGCGAGCGCCUGUCACAAAAAGUCGUCGCCUUGGACAACGCGGCGACGCCUUGGACGACUAUCCGGCUAGUCGAGCGCCUUGCUAUUCGGUUGGUCGAACGACGUCGCUCUGCAAUUUCAAACCUAAUGUACUCGUCGAACUCGAUUCAUAGAGAAUAACUCAGAAGACAAAGCCGAACCGAGAGAGAUCGAGAGAAGGCGACGUCGUGAGAGAGAGAAGACGAAGCCGACUGUGACGACGACGGCGAAAGCAACCGACAGCGAAAGCAACCGACGGCGACUUCGACGGCGAACACUGCAGGUAUGUUUUCUUCCCCUUUCUUCUUCUUCUGAUCUGUUCUUCAGCCGAGCACUGUUGUGUUCUUCUUCUGCUCCUCUGUUCCUUUAUAUAUAAACACAUAGUUCCUUUUUUUUUUUAGCCUUUAUGAGUUGCUGAGUUCCUGUUUGGCUUUUUUUUUUAACCUUAUCAAUUAUCAUUUUUUUUGUACGAAAGAAAAGCAUGACUGACAGUCAUUGACUGUUAGUACUACUGUGAAUCUGUGAUUAGUAUGCUAUAAUGGAUAAAUGCUAUAAUGGAUAAAUGCAUGACUGUUAAUUAUUAUUUGAUUUGAUUAUGUUUAAUUAUUUUUUUAUUUAAUUGUAUUGUGUAGACAGUAAAAUGGCGGAAAGUUCGGGGGCCGAUAAUUAUGAUAUAACGAAGGACCCUAAAAGAAAAGCUAAAUCGAACGAUCCGGGUUGGAAAUAUGGAUAUUGGCCGGAUUUAAGUAAUAAGGAUGUCGUGCAAUGUAUACUUUGUGGGAAGAAAUGUCAUCCGGGCAUCAAAAGGCUCAAACAACAUCUAGUCGGAAAUUAUGGAGAUGUAGCUAAGUGUCCCAAAACAACAACAGAAAUUAUGAGGGAGAUGCAAGCGGCUUUGAAUAGUAGAAAGAGGAACAAGCCACUUGAGUUAGAUGAUGAUGAUGAUGUAGUAGAAGUGCAAGAAGAACAAUUAUCUGCUCGUCCAACCAUGGCUUCCAAUACUUCUUCUAACACUAUCCCAAGUUCUGGGACGGCUUCUAAAAGGAAGAAUGUUGUAUUUCAAUUCCAAAAUCCACAACCAAAAGCUAAGACGGUUGAAGCACUUCUAAGGAAGACUCCUGAAGAAGUUGUAGAGGAGAGGCAUAGCAAGCGUUUAAGCCAAACGAGUAUUGAAAGUCGUUUGAGGACACCGGAGGAAAAGGAGAGAGUCCAAAUGCACAUUGCCGACUUUUUUUACAAAUGUGGCAUACCAUUCAAUGCUGCAAAUUCAAGGAGAUUUGAAGUAAUGGUCGAGUCCAUAGGGAAAUAUGGGUCGGGUUUCAAGCCUCCAACGUAUCAUGAGUUGAGAGUUCCUUUACUUGAGAAAGCAAAGAAGAAAACCGAUGACUUAAAGAAGAAACAUGAAGUUGCUUGGAAGGAAUACGGCUGCUCACUCAUGUCGGAUGGUUGGACAGACAAGAGGGGAAGACACUUGUUGAAUUUCCUUGUUAAUAGUCCGGAGGGGACUUAUUUCAUGGGUUCUGUUGAUGCCUCCAAUCAGUCUCAAGAUGCCACAAUGUUGGCAAAUCUACUUGAUAGCAAGAUCGAGGAAAUUGUCUCCGAAUAUGUUGUUCAGGUGGUCACAGACAAUGCCUCUAAUUACAAGGCAGCGGGGCAUAUACUAAUGGAGAGGAGACCUACACUGUUUUGGACACCUUGCGCCGCUCACUGCCUUGACCUUAUGUUAAAGGACAUAAGCAAGUUGAAGCAAUUUCAGCCCACAAUCACAAAUGCAAGGAGAAUUACAACAUUCAUUUAUAGACAUGGUCGUCUUCUUAGUGCGAUGAGGGAGAAAACGAAUGGGAAGGAUCUUGUGAGACCCGCAGUUACUAGAUUUGCUACAGCUUUCCUCACCUUGCAGAGUUUGUACAAGAAUAAAGAUGCAUUGAGGCAUUUGUUCAUCAGCGAGGAUUGGUUAAAAUCAAAGUUGUCGGCUACUGAAGCGGGGAAGAAAGUAUGUGAUACUGUUAUUUCAACAACAUUUUGGCAUACUGUUGAGGAUUGCAUUAGGGCGUCACAGCCACUUCUUAUAGUCUUGAGGAUUGUUGAUAGUGAUGAAAGGCCUGCUAUGCCUGAAGUUAUUGUUGCGAUGGAAUACGCGAAGAAAAAAAUCAAAGAUGCAUUUGAUAACAAACAAAGACUGUAUAAGAAGGUGAUUGAAAUUGUUCAGCGGCGAUGGAAAAAUCAAAUGGAGCAAAAAUUAUAUGGGGCAGCGUUGUUUCUCAAUCCGGACAAGUACUUUGAUAUCAAAGAAGAACGUCGGUUGUUUGCUAAUGCUUUACGAGAUAACUUCAAUGACGUUCUUGCAAAGAUGGUGCCCGAGUUAGAUUUGCUAGACAAGAUAAGCAAUCUAGCCGACAACUAUGAUGCUUCUCGGGAUACUUUUGCAAGAGAAAUGGUGAUUAGGCAACGGAAAAUAAAGAAUCCUCGUACGUAUAUUAAAAAAUAUAUAAAGAUAUAUUAUGAUUAUAAUUUAUAAUUUAUAUACAUUUUUUAUUUCCUCCCUUUAAAAAUAAUUAUAUUUCUUUUAAAUGUUUGCUAGUUGAUUGGUGGACUGCUUUUGGAGCGCGAGCUAUUGAGCUAUCCUCAUUUGCAAAAAGAAUUUUAGGCCUCUGUUGUUCUUCUUCCGGUUGCGAGCGCAAUUGGAGUACAUUUGAGUUUGUAAGUACUUUCUAUUGUUAGUUCAAAUUUCAAAAGUAAUAAAUCAUUCACAAUUAUUAAAAUUUUAUCAUUAAUAUUGUUAUUUUUUGUUCUAUUUAUUUUAGAUUCAUACGAAGAAGAGGAAUAGAUUGGAACACAAACGAUUGAGUGACUUGGUGUAUGUCCAAUACAAUCGAAAGAUCGACUCAAGGUUCCAAAAGAGGCGUGAACUUGGCAAUAAUUUUGAUCCAUUAGUCAUUGAUGACUUUGAAUGGGGUAAUGAAUGGAUCGAUAAUGAUGCCGAUGUUGUUCAUCCCGGCGGGGAUCUUACAUGGAAUGAUGUGGAUCGAGCAACCGGUGCAUCCAACACGCUUGAGGGUCGCAAUCUUUCAAGGAGUGCUCGUGCUAAUACUAGUAAUAAUCUAAUGACAUACUCUCGACGUGGUGGUGGUUCAACUUCAAGGGAAUCAAGGUUGAUAGAUUCCGACUCCGAUAAUGAAGUUGAUGAAGAAGAGAGAAUUCCAAAUGAUGAUGAAGAUGUGGAGGAUGAUUUUGGAGAAAGACCACCACCUACGCCUUUGAAUGAGAGUAGUUCUCGUGGAAGAGAUGGAGAUGACCUUUUCUAUGAUGAUUUUGAUUGAAUGAUGUUUCUAGAAUCUAGACUAGUGUAUAGAGUCUAAACAUUAUUUUGGCGUGCUAUGGUGGUGUUUUAUUAGUUAUUAAACUACAUAAUUGUGAUGGUUGGCUGCAACUUUAUUUUCUCUGUGUUGUUUGUUGAAUUCUUCAUUUCUUUUACUAAUCUUUAAUAUUAAGUGUGUUGUUUUUGGAUUUUUAUUGAUAAGUAUUUACAUAAUUAUGCCUUUAAUGUUAUUCCAUAGUGUUAUGUUUUAAGUUUUAAUGGAUAUAAAAUUUUAUUGCCAAUAUACUUGUUAAGUAAAAUAAAUAAUAUAUAAAUUGCACAUUGUAAACGACUUGUCGACUUAAGGACGCCAUGGCAGUCGCCUUAUCGCCUAGGCGUCCAGGCAGUCGGCUACCGCCAUGACUCGCCGUGGCGCCGUAACAACUAUGGUUGUAGCAUAUCAAAUCACAACAAAAAGUGAACAAUAUCAAGUCAAAAUAGAUAAUUUUAUUAUAGUUGUAAUUUUUUGAACUUGUACCAACUUGAAAUUAUAUAAAUGAUGAGACAUUUGUAAUAUUUAGUUUAAUUUAAUAUAAUUCUUAAAUUUAUGUUUAGUUUCUUAAGUAUUAAUAUUGAAUUAAAUUUUUAAAAUUUAAAAUUUUAUUAUUUAAUAGCAAUCUUGUUUAUGAAUAAAACUAAUACGUUAAAAAUAUGUUUGAACUUUGACAUUAACAAUAUGGAUAUGUGUUUGAACUUUAAACAAAGGCCUUUAUUAUCAUUAUCAUAGAUUGUUUUACUUUAUAUUAUUGUUUUGUUUAGAUAAAUGUAAGAUAAAAUAUUAAAAUUGGCUUAAAAUAAAAAAAUUCGCCUAGGCCCCCUAGGCGCUAGGGCCCCCUUGGCCGCCCGCCUCCCGCCUAGCGCUUUUUAGAACAUUGUUACUGAACAUUCUUCAAAUUCUUUUAAGAAUAUACACUACUUCAUUUCAGAUUGGUUUUCACUCCUCUCAUAUGUUCCUCCUUCAAGAAUGCAUAAUAUAACAGCAUUGUUGAAAUUCAUGUGCUCAUUUUCUAUAUGCAACAAUUUCUCUCUCUAAAAUGCUGAAAUUUCUCGACACGUUAAGCUCCGAUGUGCUAAUUUUAUAAUAUUUUUUGCAAACACUCGCACCUUCAAAAGUCCAAUUUAGAUGCACAAAGAUCGAUUGACAUAUAUAUAUAUAGAGAGAGAGAGAGUUUCUUUCUCCCAAAGAAAUUUGUUCUUUGUCUGAAUAUAUUCCCGAUAAUAAACUGAGUAAGAAAAUAUUAGAAUGCUACGUAAUAUAGUUGAUUUGUUCAAACUAGUUUUUAUAGCACUUGUACGAAUAUUUUUUAAACAAAGAAAGAACAAAUGUAAAAGUUAAUGGACUUUCCGCCCAUAAAAAGUAAAAAAAGGUUUCAUGGAGGCUCAAACAUCAAAAUUGAGUUACUUUUAAGGAAACGUAAUUUUCAACUAAGCCAGAAUUGUUGAUGUUAAUAGAAAGUCCAUAUUUAUCUCUAUUUAGAGAUUUAAACAAAUAGGUAAUAUGAAAGGAAA